CACACGGCGGGUGCUAACGUCCGUCGUGAAGAGGGAAACAACCCAGACCGCCAGCUAAGGUCCCAAAGUCAUGGUUAAGUGGGAAACGAUGUGGGAAGGCCCAGACAGCCAGGAUGUUGGCUUAGAAGCAGCCAUCAUUUAAAGAAAGCGUAAUAGCUCACUGGUCGAGUCGGCCUGCGCGGAAGAUGUAACGGGGCUAAACCAUGCACCGAAGCUGCGGCAGCGAACGUAUCACCCAAGACAACUUUACGGAGUUGACGAUUGACGGAGCGAAGCGACGUCAAAGCGUUCAUUAAAGUCGAGUUGGCUUAGGGAUACGUUCGUUGGGUAGGGGAGCGUUCUGUAAGCCUGUGAAGGUGUGUCGUGAGGCAUGCUGGAGGUAUCAGAAGUGCGAAUGCUGACAUAAGUAACGAUAAAGCGGGUGAAAAGCCCGCUCGCCGGAAGACCAAGGGUUCCUGUCCAACGUUAAUCGGGGCAGGGUGAGUCGACCCCUAAGGCGAGGCCGAAAGGCGUAGUCGAUGGGAAACGGGUUAAUAUUCCCGUACUUGGUGUUACUGCGAAGGGGGGACGGAGAAGGCUAUGUUGGCCGGGCGACGGUUGUCCCGGUUUAAGCGUGUAGGUGUGUGUUCCAGGUAAAUCCGGUU
rnacentral:rRNA from 1 species